rnacentral:rRNA from 1 species
GCGGUAAUACGUAGGGUCCGAGCGUUGUCCGGAAUUAUUGGGCGUAAAGAGCUCGUAGGCGGCGUGUCGCGUCUGCUGUGAAAGACCGGGGCUUAACUCCGGUUCUGCAGUGGAUACGGGCAUGCUAGAGGUAGGUAGGGGAGACUGGAAUUCCUGGUGUAGCGGUGAAAUGCGCAGAUAUCAGGAGGAACACCGGUGGCGAAGGCGGGUCUCUGGGCCUUACCUGACGCUGAGGAGCGAAAGCAUGGGGAGCGAACAGGAUUAGAUACCCUGGUAGUCCAUGCCGUAAACGUUGGGCGCUAGGUGUGGGGACUUUCCACGGUUUCCGCGCCGUAGCUAACGCAUUAAGCGCCCCGCCUGGGGAGUACGGCCGCAAGGCUAAAACUCAAAGGAAUUGACGGGGGCCCGCACAAGCGGCGGAGCAUGUUGCUUAAUUCGACGCAACGCGAAGAACCUUACCAAGGUUUGACAUCACCCGUGGACUCGCAGAGAUGUGAGGUCAUUUAGUUGGCGGGUGACAGGUGGUGCAUGGCUGUCGUCAGCUCGUGUCGUGAGAUGUUGGGUUAAGUCCCGCAACGAGCGCAACCCUUGUUCCAUGUUGCCAGCACGUAAUGGUGGGGACUCAUGGGAGACUGCCGGGGUCAACUCGGAGGAAGGUGGGGAUGACGUCAAGUCAUCAUGCCCCUUAUGUCUUGGGCUGCAAACAUGCUACAAUGGCCGGUACAAUGGGCGUGCGAUACCGUAAGGUGGAGCGAAUCCCUAAAAGCCGGUCUCAGUUCGGAUUGGGGUCUGCAACUCGACCCCAUGAAGGUGGAGUCGCUAGUAAUCGCGGAUCAGCAACGCCGCGGUGAAUACGUUCCCGGGCCUUGUACACACCGCCCGUCACGUCAUGAAAGUCGGCAACACCCGAAACUUGCGGCCUAACCCCUUGUGGGAGGGAG